ncrna:Capitella teleta microRNA cte-mir-12 precursor
CAGAGCCUGAGUAUUACAUCAGGUACUGAGUACAAGCACGAAAUCAGGGCCUGCUGAAAUACUCGCUCUCUG